AUUUCUUAAGAUCUGAGUGCAAACUUUAAAAAUACAAUAAAACUUUCCGUUAGGAAUCAACACACCACACCCAAUAAUGAUUUUGCAAUCAUGCAUUUUAACAGAAAGUACAAAUAGGCGCAUAUUUGAAAAUGAAACAUUUCCCAAGAAAACAACACACUCCUCUUUCUGUUCCUAUUUUUCUAAUUCAGAAACACAUAUUCUACGGAGACAAUAUCAGCUAAGUAUUCUAACCCAUCUCUGUGAUCAAAGGAACAAACACUCGGAUUUUAUGAACCAUUUAACUAUAUUUAGUCUCUGGAAAAUAUGCAAUUAUACUUCCACAUAUGAUGGAGGGCAUGACAACAAACAAGUAGAACUGAGGCAAGAUGAGAUAUUUCAGGCGUAGAAAGCAAGAAUCAAAAAGGUUCAAUUUAGAAUCAUGUCUAUGGAAUUGGGUUUUUAAAAAAUUUACAGCUUUUGUGAAAUGGCUGACAUAAAAAUCAACAAUAAGCAAGUGAAACAAGUAUAAAAAAAUAGGUGGGGUCAAUCUCUAAGAUCAAAUCUCUGAAAAGCCACCAUUCGUAUGGAGAAGACUUUUCUGUGUAUGUAAACAAAUAUACAUUUAGAUUAAAAAAAAAAAAAAGUGGGUCAUAGUGGCAUCUCCCUGGUCCCUUAAAAGAUAUUUGGAUUUCAUAAAGAAUUAGCAGCACCUAAAGUGUUGAUUUAGUCAAUCUAAAGGGUCGACACAAUAGAUCAGUUGGCAGUGUUCUAGCUUUAGGGAGAUGAGAAUUAGGGAAAUGAAAAUCUGAGAGGAAACAUCAAACACAUUUAGUCCAAGUCACCUUUCCAAAGGUAGCUUUAAAAUGGAAAGAAAAAUCAUUAAGUUAAAAAGACUUAAGAAAAGAGUCCCUAAAGGCCAAUCUUAAAACAAUGAGCCAUGAACAGUCAAGGUUGCCGAGUUGUCCACUUAGUAAAGACGGUCGAUUUUUACAGAUCAAAGGAGAGCCGAGGAUAGGGAGAAUAUCCACAUACACUUACCAUUGCACGAACAAUUUGCCCAGCAUUUUACAUCCCUGAACACUAAACAGAUAAAUCUUUACAAAAAACCUUCAUUCCAGAUUAUUUUCCUUUUUACCAUCAUAUACAUAACAUUUAAAUAUUUAUGAAUAGAA
ensembl:lncRNA